rnacentral:rRNA from 1 species
AUUGAACGCUGGCGGCAGGCCUAACACAUGCAAGUCGAGCGGAGCGGCGGACGGGUGAGUAAUGCCUAGGAAUCUGCCUGGUAGUGGGGGAUAACGUCCGGAAACGGGCGCUAAUACCGCAUACUAUCAGAUGAGCCUAGGGCGGAGUAGCUAGUUGGGGGGGUAAAGGCCUACAAAGUCGACGCACCGUAACUGGGCUGAGAGGAGGAUCAGUCACACUGGAACUGAGACACGGUCCAGACUCCUACGUGAGGCAGCAGUGGGGAAUAUUGCACAAUGGGCGCAAGCCUGAUGCAGCCAUGCCGUGUGGAUGAAGAAGGCCUUCGGGUUGUAAAGUACGGUCAGCGGGGAGGCGUUACCCGCAGAAGAAGCACCGGCUAACUCCGUGCCAGCAGCCGCGGUAAUAC